CUAAGUUUGAUGGCGACCGGCGCACGGGUGAGUAACACGUAUCCAACCUGCCGAUGACUCGGGGAUAGCCUUUCGAAAGAAAGAUUAAUACCCGAUGGCAUGGUUCUUCCGCAUGGUGGAACUAUUAAAGAAUUUCGGUCAUCGAUGGGGAUGCGUUCCAUUAGGUUGUUGGCGGGGUAACGGCCCACCAAGCCUUCGAUGGAUAGGGGUUCUGAGAGGAAGGUCCCCCACAUUGGAACUGAGACACGGUCCAAACUCCUACGGGAGGCAGCAUG
rnacentral:rRNA from 1 species